AAAGGAAAGAAGAAAAGAAACAACAGAGGGACAGGAAGGAAGGGAGGAAGGAAAGAACGCAGAAAGGAGAGAAAGCAGCUUCCAGAACCAGGCCCCGGCCGGGAGCCCAGCGCGGAGACACAGGCCACACCCCAUGUGCCCGCGGCAGGACGACUGGAUGCUGUGCGGCACCGUGGCCCAGCUCACCCGGACCUUCUGGUCCGGGCAGUGAGGACGCAGUGGUCGUCGGGACUCACGUCCAGCGAACGGGAUUGACCGAGGACAGAACUGCAGCGCCCCUCCCCCGCGGCUCACACCCUGGCUGUCCCUGUCUUCUGGGCCACCCUGAUGCCUCCUCACCUGCCUGUCUGCACCCACCUUCCACACCACCUUCCUGAGCCCCACUCCUGAGGCCGCCUGCCACCAGCCUGCACGUCUGCGGGGCUGCUGCUGAACCCACACCCCCGACAGCCUGGCUUCUGAGGUCGAGCCCCGCACCAGGCUCCGCACUGACGGUGUGGCGCCUGCUUGGGAUGCUCUCUCCUCCUCCCUCUCUGCCCUUCACCUCCGCAGGUUCUCUCUCAAAAUAAACUUUAAAAAAAAUCCAUGUAAGAUGGUCAUGUCAGGAGAAAUUAGGUUGAUAUGUUUGGGGGCGUUUCUUACUGGCAAAUUUAAAACUGCCACCUGGUGGGGGCACCAGCCGGGGCUCCGUCACUUAAGCUUCUGACUUCAGCUC